rnacentral:rRNA from 1 species
AAACUACGAUUAGAUACCCUAUUAUUUAUAGAGUUAUAAAUACAAAUACAUAAGUAGUAAUAGUUAUAGUCUUGAAACUUAAAAAAUUUGACGGUAAUUUAAACUACCCAGAGGAACUUGCCCCGUAAUUGAUAAUCCUCGUUAUAACUUACUUAAAUUAGUAAUCAGUUUGUAUACCGUCGUCAUCAGGUUAUAUUAGGAAAUUAUAAUCUUAAGCUUUAGAUAAGAUGUCAGAUCAAGGUGCAGCUUAUAUUUAAGGGGAGGUGAGUUACAAUAAAAGUAUUUAAACGGAAAUUAUAUUGUAAUAUAUAAUAAAAGGUGGAUUUGGUGGUAAUUAUUUAUAUGAGAAAAGUAAUGAUUAUAGCUCUAAAUUAUGUACA